AGCGAACGCUGGCGGCAGGCCUAACACAUGCAAGUCGAACGAUCCUUCGGGAUAGUGGCGGACGGGUGAGUAACACGUGGGAACGUGCCUUUUGGUUCGGAACAACUCAGGGAAACUUGAGCUAAUACCGAAUGUGCCCUUCGGGGGAAAGAUUUAUCGCCAUUAGAGCGGCCCGGGUCUGAUUAGCUAGUUGGUGAGGUAAUGGCUCACCACGGCGACGAUCAGUAGCUGGUCUGAGAGGAUGAUCAGCCACACUGGGACUGAGACACGGCCCAGACGACUACGGGAGGCAGCAGUGGGGAAUCUUGCGCAAUGGGCGAAAGCCUGACGCAGCCAUGCCGCGUGAAUGAUGAAGGUCUUAGGAUUGUAAAAUUCUUUCACCGGGGACGAUAAUGACGGUACCCGGAGAAGAAGCUCCGGCUAACUUCGUGCCAGCAGCCGCAGUAAAAC
rnacentral:rRNA from 1 species